UGAUGACAGCCUCAGCCAGCAGGCCCUCAGCGGCUUAGCAGGCGGCAGAGCCACCCAGGGCCGCCCGGGUGUUCCUACAACUGGUCUUGCGGCCCCGAAGGUGCUGGUGAGCAGCCCAGCCACCCUCCACCGCAGCCUGGUGCCUGAGGCCGCUGUUCCAGUGCUCCGUCUGGACUACCUCCCCUAACCCUACUGACUGACAAGAACCUUCCAGAACACCUGAGCUGCCCCCCAGGACACCCUGCGGAAGACCUCACUUCCCAGCCUCCCUUGCAGCCAGGUGGAGCCAUGAGCACGAACGCGGGCCCGCAGGGUGACAGGCAAAGCUUCCGGACCAGCUUGUUUAUGGGAAGUCCUCCAGCCUGGGCUCUCUGCCCUCUGCAGGGACACAGACGUGACGGGGGGGCCCUCCGUGCAGGCCAGACCCCGGACUCUCCUGGGCCCUGAGAGGAACUGGUUUAAAGCGUCUGGGCGACCAGUCGUUUCAAUGCUUUUAACAGUUUAAAGGCGACGAAGCUAGCAGAAACACUCCCCGUGCUAACACAGGCACGCGUUCCACCCACGGGACGGGACAUCACGGAACGUCACUUCGAUGGUGCCUCCUCUACCCUCAAAUGCAGAUUCGGUCUCAAAAGAAUGCUGCUACAAGAAGGAUUUUCUCCAGGGCAAAUGCAGUCUUGCCCAGAGACGAAGAUGUUCAGGUGUAAAUGAGUCCUCGCCUUUGGAAAUGACCAGGAGUCAGGCAGCAUGCUUGUCCCCCAGUCUCAUCCCCAGGACACCCCUGCGGGGUCUCUGCUUGGCUGGCUCGGCGCUGGGCCAGCUCGGGGCUGCACAAUAAAACC